rnacentral:misc_RNA from 1 species
UACGUAGGUGGCAAGCGUUAUCCGGAAUUAUUGGGCGUAAAGCGCGCGCAGGCGGCUCCAUAAGCCUGAUGUGAAAGCCCACGGCUCAACCGUGGAAGGUCAUUGGGAACUGGGGAACUUGAGUGCAGAAGAGGAGAGCAGAAUUCCACGUGUAGCGGUGAAAUGCGUAGAUAUGUGGAGGAACACCAGUGGCGAAGGCGGCUCUCUGGUCUGCAACUGACACUGAGGCGCGAAAGCGUGGGUAGCGAACAGG